rnacentral:rRNA from 1 species
AGGACGAACGCUGGCGGCGUGCCUAACACAUGCAAGUCGAGCGGGAUCCAUCCAGUAGCAAUACUGGUGAAGAUCUAGCGGCGAACGGGUGAGUAACACGUGAGAAACCUGCCCCGAAGUCUGGGAUAACCCGAGGAAACUCGAGCUAAUACCGGAUGUCCUUCCCUGGUCGCAUGGCCUAGGAAGGAAAGAUUUAUCGCUUCGGGAGGGUCUCGCGGCCUAUCAGCUAGUUGGUGAGGUAACGGCUCACCAAGGCGUCGACGGGUAGCUGGUCUGAGAGGACGAUCAGCCACACUGGGACUGAGACACGGCCCAGACUCCUACGGGAGGCAGCAGUGGGGAAUCUUGCGCAAUGGGCGAAAGCCUGACGCAGCAACGCCGCGUGCGGGAUGAAGGCCUUCGGGUUGUAAACCGCUUUCAGCAGGGACGAAAUUGACGGUACUGCAGAAGAGCCCGGCACUACGUGCCAGCAGCCGC